UUGGGAAGUCCUCGUGUUGCACACCC
rnacentral:rRNA from 1 species